AUACUGGCAAAAUUUGUAUAAAAUGACUUUUCGCCCCGAGACAUUUCACAGUCACUCGAAAAUCUCUCAAAGUGAACGUUAGGUACCUACCUAUACCUAUUUUCUCAAUUUUUUCAACAAAAUUUACCUUCAACUACUCGUAGUUCGUCGUCAUGUCGAAGUUAUUCGGUUCUUUGUUAAUUUUCUCGCUCGUUUUGAUUCACGAAAACGAUGCAUUCCGUGGAAGAAAUUCGUUCGAAGAUAGAGUAAGAAACUGCGAAAGGCUAUGCGGAUGGCCCCGUCUUCCUCAGUUACCACCGAGACCAACUUUACCUGCGGCUUUUCCAACGUUACCUGCAGCUUUUCCAACGCUACCUGCAGAUUUCCCAACAUUGCCUGCAGGUUUUCCAACAUUGCCUCCUGCACGUCCUUUUGGCCCAUCGAGAAAUGAUAAUAAGAAAUGUCUGGUUCUUCUCGAUCACAACAAUGCUACGAUUACUUUGUGCGGGGCACACUGUUUGGAAUCGACUAGUAAACGAGAAACACUGGGAAGAACAGUCGAUUGUGAAUGCCGAAAUCGUCAAUGUAUCCCUUCAAACGAUCAGCCGACAACUACACCUGCUGCGACAACUCCAAUUUCAACCACACCAACUCCCGCAAGUACAGGUCCAACCACACCAGCUUCCACAACUCCAUCUUCAACCCCUCCAUCAUCUUCAACUCCUCCAUCUUCAACUACUCCAUCUUCAACCCCAUCUCCAGCACCUUAAUAAGGCGUAAAAAGCUUUAAAAUGAAUCAUUAUUUCAUCCUUAAAGAAUAAAGAUGUUGGAAAUUUUCAAGAUUUAGAUUAAGUGGGCUACUUAUUUAUCUAAUAAUUUUCCAUUUUUUCCCUUUAUUUUCAAUCUUUAAGGUAUAGUAUAUAAUUUUUCUCUUUAAAAACAAAAAAAAAAAAAAAAACUAUUUCAUGAAUGUUGCAUUUGUUACUUACAAUUAAUAAAUGAUCGUAUCCAAUUAAA